GGGAAAACCCCGGCUGGGCGGAACACGCCAGCCGGCGCGGUCCCAGUCGGCCGCGGCCGGGCUGCCCGCGCUGCCGGUGGCUCCUUCUGCCCCGGCACGGUCCCCCUGGGGCCGGGGGCAGCGGUACCCACUGCGUCCCACCCGCAACUUUCCCCGCCCCCGUGGAUGGCUUUCGUCGGAGACCUGCAGGGCAUCCGGGCGCUUGACACCUGUCUCCCAUGGGCCGCCCCCGCGCCUAAGUUUGCGGGCGCCCGGCGCCCCCCCGCCGCCGCAGGGCGGGCUUGAAGCCGCGGCGGGGGCCGCGGUGCCCAUGGCCGGGCGUCCCGCCGCGCCGAGGUGUCCGUGCGCGCCGCCCCGUCCCGCCCGCCGGGGAGCCGCCGCGCCCGCCGGAGCGCCGCAGCGGGGGCGCUGAGGGAGGCAGCCCCCGGCACACCGCCACCGGCUCGGCGCCAGCCGCCGUUGCCCACCGGGUUCCUGGCGGCGGCGGGGCCGCGGGAUCCGUCCGCGCCCGCUGCCCCCGUGUAGUUGCCGAGUCGUCUGUCCUCGGCGGCGGCCCGCGGGUGACAUGCAGUCCCUCAUCUCUCCGGUGACCAAGGCUAUCCUGGUGGCUUUGUUCAUCUUCGCCAUCCUGCUGAUCCUCUACGUGAUUCUGUGGUACAUCUGCCGCGAUGUGGAUUGCGACCAUGGGAUCUGAGCCGCGCCGCGGGGCCAGGUCUUAGGGAGCCGGGAUUCACCCCGCGGGGCCGGGAGCGGCAGCGGGAGCCCCGCCAGGCAGCAGCCGCCGCCACCGCGGCCGGAGCGGAGGAAGGGGAAGGAAAAAGAGGGGGAAAAAAAAAAGAAAAGAAAAAAAAAAGAGACAGAGGAAAAAGCCGAGCCGAAAGAGCCCGGAGGACAACUGCAAUCAAGAAACCAACCUGAGCUUGACCUUCAGAGACCAGGGUGACCCGGGUACUGUGCCAGCUUCCCAUUCUCAGAUGAACUGUGCAAAACUGCAUCUGUCCAUCUGCCUAACAGCAAAUGCUCCCUGAAGAACCAUGAAGAUGCUGACUGUGUUUGCAUGGGCAUCCUCUUAGCUCACACGCCUCGUCUGUGCCCUCAGUGCCAAAUUCACGGCCAGAACCUGCUCCCUCCCGCUCUCAGCUGGAGCAUUGGGCAGGUUAGCCAAGGCUGCAGAAGCAGAAGUCUGGAUUUGGGGGGUCUGUGCUCUCUCUUCCCUGUCUUAAUUAAGACAGCAGCCAUCAAGCAAUGUCAUUAGCUACUUGCCCUUUCCCAGCCUGGAAAAGUCAUCUACGGAGCAAGAAGUGCCACUGAACCAAGUGAGGACUGACAAAGAAGUGCAGACAGUUCCUGGCUUUGCCAAAAACAUCUUGCUUACCAAACAGCACAACCUUGGCAGGCUGAGAGACCUUUAGCAGAGAGGAACUGAGGAAGAGGAAAUCUGGGCUCAUUUUGCUGUGCGUGUCAGGCGGCAGCCAAAACCUGAGUAGCUGUGCUAACAUGUGAAAUGUCAUCUGAUAAAAUGGUGCUGCCAAAGAGGCACAACUUGGAGGAGGAAUAGCCUCAAUACAUUCUUUUUCUUGGUUUUGGUUCCAGAAGAUGCCUCUGUCUCAUGACUGUAAUAAUACUCAAUCAUCAUGCUAUAAUUAAGGGCUUUUCAUGUAAUCAUCUGUAGAACUGAUUACUUUGGGCUAUACCCUGCUCAUGCUGAGCUUCCUGGCAAAAUUCCCACUGACAUCAGUAAGAGAAUGAUCAGACCUUUCCUCAGAAGUUUACCACUAUUGUUUGACAAUACCAUGCUUUUCAGACAGUUGACAGUGGGGAUUAAAUAUUUAGACUCUUAAUUAUCGGAAUAUUAAAAUUACACCAUAAAGACAGCAGGCUCUUUCUCAGAAGCCUGAGUUUGUUCUGGUCGUUAUUGCUUCCAAGGAGUACGACACCAAAGCAAGGCAUGAACAGGUGCUGUGAGGUCACUUACUUGUUGGUGGAAAGAAGGAAGCACCUCAAAGGAAGCAGUCAUCUUCUGCAGGUCUUCACAAGUGCCUCUCUCUGUCUGCUGGCCAUGCGGCAAAGCUGAGGCAAUUAGAUUGCUCCUUUCGGCCCUUCCAGGACUCAGACACCUAAAAUUUCAUUGAGGUAAUAGAUACCUCAGUGAGGUAUCUAAAGUAGAUGGAUGAGAUUCCAUCCUGAAUACUUGAGACUUUGCUGUUAAUGAUUGCAAGGAAAAAAACCCCAAAAUAUCAGUAAGUAAAGAUGGUGACUACUGAAAACUGAAGUAGAGGAAGUAUCAGUUAAAAUUUGCAUCUAAGACACCAUUUGAAAACAAUCUAAGACCUACAGCCUUUUGUUAAUCUUUUCAUUUCUCCUUCACUUCAUGUCCCAUCAGCCUUCAGAAAAAAUAAUGUAUUAUAGUGUUGAAAGAACUUUUUCACAGCCUUUCUAUGAAGCCAUAGUCAUGAACCAUGGGGGUUUUAAAAUAAUUUUAACACUCUAAGAAAAAGUAGUGGGAUCAAUAAGACCAUGAUGUUAACCCAUCAGUUGUUCCCCACUUAGUCUAGUUCUUUGCAUAGUGUUGUCUGAAAAAAAGACACAGGAGAAUUUAUUCUCAUAGCUUGAGUGUACAUUGAUUGAGAUUACUAUACUAGAAAACCUGAGAAAGCAUGGUAUAUUUAUAUACAGGUCAUGUAAAUACAAUGUGGAGAAGUUUAAUAUUUUAAUGUUGCAAAGGGCUUUCAUUAAUGCUGUAGUUCUGAGAGAAGGAUGUAAAGCAACAUAAAGGAAUUGAGAUUUGAUUUUUACUGAGAUAAGUUGAAGGAGUAAUUCAUCUUUACUAAAUGUCAGCAUUUCUUCUUUCGUGUCUUUAUGUGAUGCUCUUUCUAUCACUCCAUGCUUGGUUGAGAACAAUGUACAUUAGGAACGAAUCCUUCACAGAUGUGACUUCAUGAUGUUCUGUUUAUUAUUUAUGUUUGCAUAAUUCCAUGUGUUAAUAAAAAAUAAAUAAUUCACCCAAGAUACAUAAAAUUAAA